rnacentral:lncRNA from 1 species
GUGCAUCCCUAUCGCGUAUCCGCAUCCAUUCUGCAUCAUUGAUUUUUUUUAUUUUUUUAUAUACCAGACAAAGUAUAGCAUCUCACGCGCAAAAGCCCAUCAUUUCUUUGUGCUGCGUGAAUUCAAAUUUCAUGCGUCCAACCUCCAGCACCUUAUUUCCACGUGGUCCACAUCAUUUCUCGAUGUCGCAUGAAUUCAAAUUUCAUGCAUCCAACCUCUAGUACCUUAUUUCCACAUCAUCUACCAACCUUUUUGUAGACCAAGUGAUCCAUGGUGGACCACCAGCUUAUG